rnacentral:rRNA from 2 species
UACGGAGGGUGCAAGCGUUAUCCGGAUUUAUUGGGUUUAAAGGGUGCGCAGGCGGGUUUGUAAGUCAGCGGUGAAAUCCCACGGCUCAACCGUGGAACUGCCAUUGAUACUGCAGGCCUUGAGUGUAUUUGAAGUGGGCGGAAUGUAGCAUGUAGCGGUGAAAUGCAUAGAUAUGCUACAGAACACCAAUUGCGAAGGCAGCUCACUAAACUACAACUGACGCUCAUGCACGAAAGCGUGGGGAUCAAAC